rnacentral:lncRNA from 1 species
UGGAAAGGACUCUUCAUUGUUUAUAUAAAGGUCAAUAUAAGGUCUUGGAUUGUCAGGGGGCUGAAUGAUGGAGACAAGAGAACGGUGAUAAAAAAAUUUAGUGGAGACGGAACGUAGUGUCAUUAGGAGACUAAAAUGGAAGAUUGUCAGCUGGAUGUUGCCAGGAAAACUCUAUUAUGAGACUUCGGUAUAAUGGAAAGUUAUAUGUGCAUGUAAAUGCUUUAAACGACAUUGUAGAUGAUUUUUAUUGUAAAUGAGCUCUUUUGGUGCUAAGCUUUUCUCUACAUGGCUUUGCCCCCCUUUUGUGCCCAUUUUCUUUUACCUAUAAAAAAAAAAUAGAAAAUUAUCAUCAGAGAAACUCUAUUUUGUUUUUGUUUUUGCUUUUCCCCUGGCAUUUGCAAAGCUGAUUAAAACAGCUUAGCAUCAGAGAAUAAUCACUAAUUCAACAUAAAUGAAUGCACUGAAUUUUUAGGAACAGCUAUCUGAUUAACUAUCAUGCCUACGCUAUAUUGACAAUGUAGAUAAAAUUUUUUACUGAUAAUCUGAGGUCAGGGGGUGUCCCUUGCAGAUUGCAUGGCAAAUACCAGAAAAGGUAAAAUUUCCCAGUUACCUUCUGCUCGGGAGAAAAUAUGUCAGCAGCAUAAUACAUUCCGCCCGCAGUUAGGCCUCUGACUUGACCAACGCUGUUGAAUAUAACACCGCAAUCAUUUUCAUUAUACACGUAGAGUUUCCCAUUCGGAGUGCAAGUUUUUGCAUGAUCUAGGAGGGCUUUCCACUUCUUCUCUGUCAUGCCAAGAAUCUGCAAUGAACAAACACGUCAUUACUCUUCUUGGUUUAGGGAGUUCAAUCCAAAUUGAGAACCAUCUGCAAAAUCUCACAUCUCUCAGUUUCUCAGGGUCCAUGGAGAGUCGUCGUAAAAACUCUUCCACCUUACAUAUUCCUGUAUCAACCAGCUUCUUGUGAAAUGAUCCAUCCUUCGCGAUACUUUCCAAUCUCCAGAUGUCAUCGUCAGAUGCUGGUGGAUAGUGUUUCUUGUACGCUGUAAAGUGAGUAGAGGAUGAAAUUGCAGUAAUACCAAGAUCAAUAGGGCAAACAAAACUUGUUGUGCAACUAAAAAAUCUCUAAGCUAUUAGGUGAAGUUUUGAGACAAAUUAGCUAAGGAAGCCCUUAUUCUAGCUUCACUCAGUUUAGUGAGAUUUUCCCAUCUUUGGCAAUCUUCUUCAACCACCGGACUUCAUCAUCCGAUACAGGCGGAUGAUGUUUUUUAUCCUGCAAAAUGAAGAGAAAAAUGUCAGUAAGGUCUCAGUCGCUAUUAGAUUAAUGAGUAGCAGCAAACAUCGAUAGGCGUGCAAACCUCUUCUCUAAGACCUUGAUAGCUCGUAAUAGAGUAUGGGCACGACACUCUUUGCGCGGUACAAUAAUAACAAUUAUUCCCUUUCCUACAAGACUAACCUACCAAUAUACAACAUCGACAGGCGUCCAGCGAUUUCUCCCCCUAGAAUACUUUUUGUUGGAUACAACUUUAUUUAAAAAGAAAUGGUAAAUAGUGGUGGGACGCGUCCGGUGGCUGGCGACCGGCUAUCGGCGGCGGCUGGUAGCUGACGACCUUGGCAGAGUCGCAGUAGCGGGGGAGGACGAGGCCGUCCUUCUCGAGGGCGAGCUUGGCGGCCCUGAUGUUGCCCUCGCAGAGCAUCAGGAGCUCAGACGGGCACCAGGCGUGGUAUGACCCGCCGUCGCCCCCCUACACCUUCUUUGCGAGCUUCAGGGAGAGGUCGAGAUCCAAUGGCGGCUGGCAGCUGGCGGGAAGAGGAGCAAAGCAAGCGAGGCUACGGAGCGCGAUGGAGGAGAGAGAGGGAAAAAGGGAAGCGAAAGGAGAGCGAAAGUGAAGCGAGCUGAGUCAGCAAGGGGGAGGAGGGUGUGAAUUUAUAGAGGGGGAAUCGGAACGGAGUCGAGAAGAGCGGGUGGAAGGUUUCCGUUCCGUUACCUGAAUCGUAGCGGAUGACGACGGUGACGAAGAGAGAGAGAGACGGCAACUUUUGCGCGAGGGAGGGAGGGUGAGUCUCGGUAUCCCCUUACUUUCUACGCGGGAAAGAGGGGGUGCGUGACAAAUUAAAAUUCGUGUUCCAGAAAUAUUUUUUCAAUUUCAGGCUUGUUUUUGGAAAAAAAUUCAUUUGAUAAAAUUAUUUUAUUUUUCUAUUUCUAAAAUAAAUUUUUGUUCUAGAAAUAGGUUUGGAAUAGAAAUUGGAAGUAAAAAUAUUUCUUUUUUAUUUUUAUAAUAAAAAUGAAAAAUAAAAAUUCUUCUUAUCGUUCAUUAACCAAUCGUUCAUACGUCACCGCCAACCACCAUCCGCCGGUUAUCACCACCCCAGUCGCUGGCCGCCACAACUGCCAUUUGUUGGUUGACAGCGGCCACCACCGUUCGCCAGUCGCCAGUUGUUGGCCAUCGCCUCUACCGUUGCUGUCCGCCAGUCACCAAUUGCCGGUCGCCAUUGCUGCCGCCGCCAUUCGUUAGUUGCCGCUAGCCGCCGCCAUUUGUUGGUUGCCACCAGCCGCCGCCGCCACUGGUCGCCGACCACUAACGGUUGCUAGUUGCCGGCCACUGUUUGAAAUGGAGAAAUUUUGUGUCGUUAUCGAAACAAAUUUCUAUUUUUAUAGUAAAAUUUUUUUGUCGUUAUCAAACGGGUAUUUUUGCUUAAAAAUUCUUCUAGAAAUAGAAAAAAAAAAUCUACUUUUUUUCUAGAAAUCAAUUUCUAGCUAGAAUGGUUAUCAUUUGCACCCCAAAACUGAUUCGAUCUAUCUUAUUUAGAUUUGUAACCCUAUUUUAUUCUUAUCCUUUUCUUUCUCUUUUUUUUAAAAUUUUUUUAAUUUUUUUUUCUUUUUCCUUUUAAAUUUUCAAGUUUAUUUUUGAUGCGGUGCUUGCUAUUAAGAUUGUAAUAAUAAAAAAAAAAUAUUUUGGUCUUUUUUAUUAGACAUAUUGAACGGAGUUAUUAUAGGGACUUUCCCAUGUCAAUUUAACAAGUUUUAUGAUUUCACCAUAAAAAUGCGAUACUGCAAAAGUUAUUAUACAUACCCAGUGUCCUACGUUCCCUAACGGGAAAGGCAUCUGUUUUUGCUUCUCGGAUCCGUGUAUUCUCACCAUCACGCGAUGCCACUUUGAGCCCUAUCCUGAAACUUUUGCUUCGAUUCCAGCUGGAAUUGUCAGUAAACAUCAAGUCUCCCAGCUCCCCAACACCUGCCUUUAGCUUUACUUGGAGAUUUCCUGUCAAAAGCGGCCUCUUUCCUUCUCGCUCUUUAACCACGUAGCUAUCAAACUCUUCUGGAGCCCAAUUUUCCUCAUCGUCUUUGUUGAAGUCACCUUCAAGCACAACGACGUCCAACUUGAUGGAGGCUUCUGGCCCUGAUGUAACAACAUGCCUUGUAUUCGCAUCAAUCAAGGCAAUGGAAAUGCGAGCACCGCCCUCUCCUUCUAGUUUCUUUUCAGUAAAUAGAGGAAGUGACAGUUUGUUUUGAAGUUGAAGCCGUAAGUUUCUCGCGUCAUUCUUCGCUGUAGAUCUACCAUUAACCCUGCAUUCUCUCGAGAGAACAGCUAUUAGAAAUAGGAACGGGUACAGAAGCGGGAAAUUGGAAAAGUAACUAUAAAGAGAGCCAAGCUACUAACAAUGAAUGUGCAUUCGUACCUUGCAAGGUGGGGAGAGCGAAUGUUUGCAAGCUCCACUGCUUCCGCCUGGCAAAUAACGCCAACAGCAGAAUUGCCGAAGUUGGAGACCUCAAAUAAAAAUAAAUAAAUAAAAAAUGAGGCAGAAGGGAUAUGUCCGAGACAAAGUGCAAAUUCAAUAAAUUUGUUUAUCUUACCAGUUUCUGAACAGCAUUCUCCAUUGAGUCCAUUCGUUGCAGUACAUCUUGGAGAUCAUUCCUGAUGUGACAACACCAUGAAAAUUGACACCGUGAACAAUGGCUGUCAUGUGGACUUAUUUGUAAUAAAUAGGAAAGGCGAGCUUCUCAAUGGCUCGUUCUCUGUGAUUCUUAGAGCUGCAGAUGAAACUGAUCGGACCGAUUUCGAGUGCACCCAAUGAGGAUCCCCGAUUACAGUAUAAAAAGAUGGAUACCAGUCUACCAGACUCAUCAAAUGCAUUCCUUUAAUGUAACGCAACAUAGAAAAGUCAACACAAAUCUGGAAUUCAUUUUUAUCCGGUACAUUGAUAACAGAAGCAAGUAAAGUUUAAUUAGCAGCCAUCUCCAAAUGCAACGUCCUUUCAGUGAUUUAAAAAAUAAUGUAUGUGCAGGUAUUACACUUUGCUGAACAGAAUCAUGGACCGAUGGCUUAUGAUACUCCAUGAUAAUUCUACUUGACAAGACAAUACACAUGGAAAUUCUCCUAGAAGAAUCAGUUGAUGCAGAUGAGCUAUAGCUAACAAACCAAAUAAAAUUUAUUCACCUUCGACCGUAUUUGGCCAAGUCAGAUUUAGCACGCUCCAGCUCUUCCCUGACCUGUUCAGCAAAGAGCAAUGUCAAAGAAUUACAUUGCAAUCUGCCACGUCUUCAUCUCAUACAAGUUUCACAUCACUGGUAUCUUCAUUGUUCUCCUUCGACAUGCAAGUUGUCUUUUUUUUGUUUUUGGUAAAGAUCGACAUGCAGGUUGUCAUUGACCACAUUUUCCAAGAUUCAAGGAAAAAAUUAUGUCCAAGCCACUUCAUUGAAAAUCUGGAUCUUUUUGUGAUCCAUACUGUCCGAAACAACAUGAAAAGCCUAAAUCACGUUCUUAGUGGAAUUGCUUCACUGGAAAAGCCUAGAACAGUCAGCAGGUCAUUUUUACCACUCAAACGAUAAUUUUCUACACAUCUCGCAGCAAUUUCUCAUGCGGAUUUCUAUCCGGAAACUGACUGGAAGGUCAGAAAUGCAUCCAACCGCUCCUAGUUGAAGAGAUCAGCAAUUGAAGUACAAUAAAGACUGCAUUUUGUAUGUCCAAGUUGGCUACUUUACUCAUCUUACCACUCUCCGGACAUCUUCCUCUGUCAACCAGCUCCUCGGCACAAGAUUUCUCCCGGACCAACGCCAUGUUUGACUGCGUGAAGAUCAGGUCAGCACAAAAGUACAAUCAAGAUGGUACAAUUUGGCAAACAGGACAGCAAAGAAACCCAGUAACAAUAUCAGCUCACUGGCUAUGUAAAAGUUUCCAAGAAAGUUUAAUUCGAAUCAGGAGGAAAUAAUGCGAUUGGCCCAGGCCAAAAUCGCAAAACAGAGUCGAGAUGGCAACAUUGGAGAUCUUUAUGCUUCGCAUCUAAUUCACAGCACAAUCCCACGAACAAAAAACAGAACGAAAGCAAUUUAGAGCUGUCACGAGGCAAAAGCUAAUCAAUGUUAUGCUUCCUUUGCCAUAUAUCCUCGUUUAGGAAAAUUACCAAAAAGGUCCUAAAACUUAUUAUAAUUGAUUUAGUCCUAAAUUUAUCUUUUUGACCAAUUAAGUCCUAAACCUUUUACAGUUUGAGAAAAUUACCAAAAAAGUCCUAAAACCUAUUAUAAUUGAUUCAAUCCUAAAUUUAUCUUUUUGACCAAUUAAGUCUUAGGCCAUUUAUAAUUAUGCCAAAUCAGUUCAUCUAGUCAAAAUUGGCCGGCUAGCACUGAUGUGACCAUUGGCCAGUGACGGUGAGGCCCCCCUCGCCGGAUCUGGGGAGGGCUCACCCGGUCGCCUCAGUCCGGCGACCGGCCAGCCCUCCCCUCUGGCCGGUCGCCAGAGCCAAAGGAAGAAGGAGGGAGGAGGAGAGAGGAGGAAGGAGGGAGAGGGGAAAAAAUGAAAAAAAAGGAUAAAAAUUAAUAAAAUAAUUCAAAAAAUACAAUAUUAUUAUAAAAAAAAAGUCCCACAAAUAUAGCUAAAACGAACGCGAUCAUCAAAUAAUCGAUCAAGCCUCGAAAUGUUGAGAGGGAAGAGUGAACUCACUUCAUUCGAGCUCUGCGUGGCCUCUUGAGUAGACUUACUUGACCUGAAGAAGUGGAAGGCAAAGCUCUCUUUUGCGUCGACAUGAUUUUCUUUGCUUUUGUGGAGCUCAUCAAGAACUUGGAAGGAUUUGACUACUGAACAAACGGGAACAAAUGUAGCACAGAAAUGACGGAGAAGAUGAACAGUUUAUAUAAGAACUCAAGCCCACAUUCAAAGUAAUGAGUUUGUAGUCAUCGGGGUGCGUUUUAUAAUGUCGUCUCCGGAGUAGGCACAUCAAAGUGCAGUACAUUUCAGGGAAAGGGUGCCGGUUUUAGAAUUACCCUUUUUCUUUCCUUAGAUUCCAGCAAUUUGCCCCCUCAACCUUAUGAAGCCGCCCGUGCAAUUUCUUUUUGACCCGAUCUUUGAUCCGAUCGGUCAUGUGCUCCAAUAUCUUGAGCAAGUGAAAAAAAUUCAAAGGAUAAAUAUACUGAAAAUUUUAAAACUUGUCACAAUAGUUAAAUUGAGUCUCAAAACUUUAAAAAAUAAUUUGAUCAAUUCUUAAAAUUUAUCAAAUUUAUGCAAUCAAGUUCUUUUAUUAACUCCGUUCAACUUAAUAAACGAAAAAUGCUAACAAUUUUUAAGAUUUGAUUAGGUUUUUUUAAAAUUUUAGAAUUUAAUUGCACUUUUGUACAAAUUUUAUCACUUCCAACACAUUAUCCCUUUAAUUGAUUACUGCUAAUUACACGCGACUACUACACAUAAAUUGUAACAACAAUCAAAUGUGUGUUAUAGUUAUCUAUUGAGAAAAUAUGUACGCAUUCGAGGAAUGAUGGAGGCAAAUUAAUAUGGCUCUCCUUCCGAUUGAUGAUGCCAAAACGAUUUAUUGAUGAACAUUGGAUUUGAUUGCCGGCUUGAGAAUUUUUCCUCUUUCUUGUCUCUAACUUUGCUAGAUUGUCCCCUCAACCUUAUGAGCUAUGAAGCUGUAUGUACUUCUUUUUUAUUUUUUAUUGUUUCUGCUUUUGCCUAUUAAAUAACUGAGCUAUUUUUGCAAACAACAUACCAAGGUAAAUCUUCUCUACCUGAUCUUUAAUCAAUGGGUCACAUGCUCGAAUAUCGAUUAUCAUCUAGGUGUAGCUUUUGUGCAAGCACCAUAAAAUUCCAGUUAAUCACGCAGCUUCUAAACGGUGCAAACGGGCCUGGAAAAAUGCCUUCACUUUUUACGGAUACCACACCAUAUAUAAUUCUUUUCUUGGCUCGUUCGCAUUCCAUUUGAUUAAGAAAUCGAUACUUCAUUUGUUUUACGGUUUUCCUAUAAAUAAUCGCCAUAACUUUGGUCUCUUUUUUUUUUUCCCUACUUCUAACGUUUCACUAUAAGUAAGCCGUAUUGGAAAAAAUUAGAAAUGUAAUUGCCAUAUGAGGUCUCAUUUUCGUUCGGAGGAAUUCCGUCCAUAAUCUUUCAAGUUACUCCAAUUGUGGAGGACAUUUGGUCAAUAUAUGAGAAAUGGUGGUUGAGGAUCAUAGGAAGGUUCUGGGAAAUGUUACCUGCAUGUAUCACGGGCUGAUCGAUUAGGAUCCACGGAGGAGUCACAGCUGUCCAUUGGGAACCUCUUGGAUCGGUCUUCUUCCGGGCCAUGACACAUGCAUGCUUCAUUGUAGUUGAAGAAUUUAUGUUGGCCACUAUGUUUAAAAGCUCAAAAGCGCUUGGAAAUAAGCUUCCUCCCAAAAUAAGAUUUAUGUCGGAUGAAUUUUUGUUUUUUCUUCUCUCUAAUUUUACUAAUUUGCCCCCUUAACCUUAUGAGUUAUGAAGCUGCAUGUACUUUUUUCUUUUUCUUUAUUUUUUCUACAUUUGCCUAUUAAAUAAUUGAGCUAUUUUUUACUUCAACGUUCACGGUAAAUCUUCAAUGGUCACAUGCUCAAAUAUCGAUUAUCAUCUAGGUGCCGAGCGACAUAAUAUUUCGAAUAAUCACUUCUAAUCUAGCGUAGCUAUAACUCAUAAAUUAUAACGAUGAAAGAAUGUGUUUUGUAGUUAUCUAUUGAGAAAAUGUAUGUACUACAAAUUGGUUCAAGGAGUGUUAGAGGCUAAUUAGUAUGCCUCUUCAUCAAAUUGAUGAUGUCAAAAUGAUUUAUUGUUUCUUGGUUUCGUCAUAAGGUUGUUAUUUUCCAAAGGUUUAGAAUGCCACAGGUAUCGUAUGCGGUUAAAAUCCUUUUGACUAUGAGAACUCGCUAGUUUUCUUACCUGUGUUUUGCACAAGGUUUCUUUGCAAAGAGAUGAGUGAUUCUUGAUGUAUCAUUUUCAUAGGAACUCUCAAUCUUAGAUAAUAUUUCAACUACUUGAACAAAAAUCUUUAAUGCAAGCUAUAAAUUUUAUUGUUAAUAUUAUAAUUUUUUCAUUGACUCCAUGGCCAAGUGAAAUUAAUUUCUCGUGCAAAUUAAAAGCAAACACUGAAAAAAUGACAUUUGGUUGCCUGAUACAUGACUUUAUUCAUUAUAAUCCCCAAGUGUUGAUCUCAUCAUCAUUUCAUAAAUUAUUCUGAUUAAACUUUAUUAAAAUGAUCCUUCAUCAAUAAUGUCACUUUCAAACGGUACAAGGGGUGAUCGAAAAUUACCUUCGGUGCACCGUAUGUUGAUUCUUCCAUUGGCUCUUUCACAUUCUAUUUGAUGAAGAAAUUAGUAAUUCAUGUGAUCACUGCUUCCCCCCCCUCUCCCUUUUUCUUUUCUUUUCGUACUUCUAUUAAAGUCUUUUUCAUCAAGUUUAAGUAAAAGGGAUUAGGUGAUUGAUAAUUAAAAAUUGAAUCUAGCAUAUGUUACGUGUUUGUUACUAUUGUACUUAAUUAGUAUGUCCAUGAUGGGGUGCGAUGAGAACGCACUGUUUCAUCUUGAUACGCUACGAUAGAAAAACACUCUUUGAAAGGGUAUGAAGGGAGUUGUAUAAAAGUCUUUUGAAGAUAACCGUUGGUACGGUUGGCAGAACGUACGCUCAGAAAUUUCUCUCUUUUUUCUUUUCCCCUUUCCAUCAAAAGAAAAAGAAGAUGUUCCAUUUAUACUUUAUAAGAACAAUUGGCAUUUACGCUGUGGAAAUCGGAUGCUUUUCUCGUGAUUGCAUUCAGACCAACGUGAAGUAAUUUUGUUCGUGAUUCAUCUGCAAUUCAACAAUUGUUCCGUGUAAAUUGUUGACUGCGCAUCGGAUAGAGGUAAGUCAUCGUUCGCCGACUUCCUUCCACCAUUGGUAUCAGAGUCCGAUCGUGAUUUUUAUCUUGUUUUCAUCUCGUUUACCACUUGAUAUUGAGAUCAGGAGAUUGAAUUCCACAUCGUCUGGAUGUAUUGCUCAUAAAUGCAAUUUGAAUCGUCAAACACGAACCGAAGGGAAGAACAGGUUCGGGUCGUGUACAUCCAUACGGUUUUGGCCAUUUUUUGGAAUAUUUUUUCGGCCAAAAUAAUUUUUUAUAUACACGAGACGAGAUCAAGAGAUUGAAUCCACAUUGUCUGGAUGGUUGGAUUGUUCUCUCGUUUUUCUCAGCUGAAUGAAUUGAAAACGAAUAUCAGAAAUAACUAGCAGCGCCAUUGUUUUUAAUGCCACUGACUUCUCUCCCAUUUAAGAAAAAAAGGGAAAAAAAAACGAGGUGGGAUUUGUGUGUUUUAAUUUGAAGAGAUCGGCUCGUUGGGGACGGGGCGAUCUCAAUGGGAAAACGGAGAAAAAAACAAAAGGCCAAGACUUACUUUCCAAUCCAUGGACCCGAGCCUGGGGAUUUCGUCACGAAAAGCGCGUACGAAUAAAUAUCUACAUCUCCCUUUCGGUCCAUGGUUUGAAAAAGUCAGAGAUGGGAGCUUGUGGUGGGGGAUGGGAUAACUUGCAGCGUAAGUCGGUCUGGGUCAACCGUGUGUAGCAUGGCGAACUGUCGUGUACGGAAAGAGAGUUUCUAGAUGGUGAGGGGAGGGGAGGGGAUGGAUCGGUGGCCCAUCCAUCUCCGUAGAGCCCGCAUUCAUUGGGAGGAGAGUAGAGAAGACGCACGAGUCAAAUUGGAGAAUUCUCGUGCAGGAGAGGGGAGAAGAGGAGGGGUUCAUCAUAUGAUAAAUAUCUCAGCUCACCCAUCAUCCCAUCAUGGGAUUCUCUCAUCCCAUGCAACCGUUGAGACAUCAUCCCGACUAGUCUAUGCAAAGAAUUCCCCAAUUCUUAUGGCGGGUCUCUUCCUUUCUUCUGAUGGGACGGACGAAUCAAUCCACCCGCUUAUUAAAGGUUCAUGAAUGAACAUCGCCUUCCCUUCCCUUCUGUUAUCGGGGGCCUCAGGUUUCGCAAGCGUUAGUUAUUAGUAUAGCUUAAGGAUUCCUCGUUUUUUCUUUUCCAUCGGCGGUACAAGUUUUGAAGUUAUAUAUAGAAUACAAAAGUCUAAGAUGAGGAGAGAUAAUGGAUAGGCUUGGUGGGGGCAACGUCCAAUAUCUAAAAUGGAAUGGUCCCCCUAAAGGCCAACCGCCCACUCCCGGCCUAACACUGCCAGCCCAAACACUCUCCUUCUUUUAUCUUAUUCAUUCACCCAUUAGUAGUCCCUUCAAUUUUCCGUUUUCAGCUGGCACGUUUAUCAUUAAUACCAUUUCCUUAUGCACGGACUUUGGAUCCACCCGUGCUCACUCCCUUCUCCUGUCAAAUGAAAGGGCCGACGGGUAGCGGCCGUGAUCGGCAGCAUCUCUUUGGUUGUAAUGUUUAAUAGGUCAUUUAGAAUUUGUAUGUCUUGUCCCCAUAACGAGAUUAUUGAGAUUGUUUUAGGAUGCAUUUGGGAAUUGGCUUUCCCAAAGCUCUUUGGGCCUCUAAAGCCCUUGAUCAAAUGUAAAAAUGUUUGACAAUUUUUAUUUGGAAAGUUUGAAGAAAUGAUUUGCUUUUAUUAGGGAUAAUCGGUUUAUGGUCUAGUUUGAUAACCCCUUGUUGGUCCCGAGGGAUGGAGGAGGCUAAUUGGGAAUCGGGGACUAGAUCAAGAACCAUUUACUAUUUUUUUUCUUUUUCACAUUUCCAUCUCGAUAUCCAAUAACAAAUUUAGAGUUUGAGACAAAUUCUAUGCAUCAAUUUGUAUAUCUUAUUAUCUAAUCACAAGCUCCUAUUUCAUUGGAAAUAAUAAACUAAACCCACUAAUUUUUUUUAAGAAAUAAAAAUAAUAAAAAGUAUAUUUAAUUGAUUCGAUCUAGUUCUCUCUUAGAAUCGACAAUUGAACUACUAGGACACCAAAUUGAGAUGAGUCCGACGAUGGGUCGAGCAUCACCAGAGGACGCAAGAUGCGCCCAAAUGCACGGCCAGAAGCCGUUGGGCAUGGGCUCCACACGCCUAACACGCUGGGCACGCCAGCGCGUGAGCGUCAUGCAUGUGUUGGCAAAUUGACACGUGCUGACGUCACUAUGACGUCAUCCAACGGUUGUUAACCGCUAGAUGACGUUAUCAGCAACGUUAUCGAUGACGUCACCACCAACAAUAGUUGGCCGGCUGGUCGCUGAUCGGCGAGGCUGAACCAUGACCUGACUCGACUAUUGACCGGUCAAUGGUCUGACUGGCCAGGGACUAUCUGGCUCGCUAGCGCGUGUGGGCAUGUGUGAGCUCCGAUUAUAGUGUGGUUGGUGGCUUUUGGCUCGUAUGAAUAUUCUCUACACUGUGGUAUGACUAUUUUCUAUUUUUGAGUAUUUUAAAUGUAUAAAAAUGUGUAGGGAACCCUCUUACCAAAAAAAAAAUGUGUAGGGAAUCCUAAGUAUGCCUAUUUUUUGGGGUUUAAUGCGUCGUUUAUUCAUUUUAGCUUGUAUUUUUUUUUUAUUGUUUUGGAAAUACAAUAGCUUGCUUACAUAAAAAAUGAUAUCAUAUAUGUUGUGUAGAGCUUAGUUCGAUGAUAACAUGUAUAUAGUUUAGUAUACUUGCAAUUUUCUAGUUAUAAGAAAAUUCAAACAAUGGUAGGAAAUCCUUGUUUUUCCGUUACAUAUUAAAUUGCGGUUUUGAUUGUAGUUGCAACAUGAUUGUUUUUUGUAUGUUGGUUCACAUCAUGCUAUGCUUUUGUGUUAAUGAAAGAUGUAGAAAUUAAUGAGGUCAUGUAAUUAUUUUUUUUCCAGCGAGAGUUCGUAGGUUAGUAGAAUUCGAAGGAGUCCUCACCUAGAACUUAAAAUUUACGUAAAUUAAACUAAUUAAUGAUAAUAGAACAAUCGUAUAUAGGAGCUGAUUGGGAAUACAAUGAGCUUUCGUUUUUGUGUCUUUUGUUGAAUUAUCAUUAAUUUAGUUUGUUUUUGCUGCAAAUUAAAUGUAUGUUAUACUGAAAAGUGUCCUAGUAUUGAUUCUGCAUUUAUUAUGUCAAUGUGUUAUAGCAAUUUUUUUUUUUUGGCAUCCAAGACCAUUGUGGCUGACCUCAAUAAGGGUGAGAAGUUGAACGGUGACAAUUAUGAUAUUUGGCACCAAAAGUUCAGUACAUCAUUGAGGAGUAAGAAGUUUUGGAAACCCUCAACCACAUCAUGGAUGAACCUGAGUAUGGAACUUCAGUUCAACACAAGAGAGAUCUAGAAGUAUAUCAAGCUUGGAAAAAGAAAAAUAACAUUGCUCGCAUCACGUUGUUGAGCUGUAUGCAAGAUGAUCUCAUGUGUGAGUUUGAAAAUUAUAAUAAAACUCAAGCAAUGUGGGUUGCCUUGAAAGAUAAAUUUGGGGGUACAUCCGCUACUAAGUUGAGGAGACUUACCAUCAAAUUUGACACAUAUCAAAAGCGUCCAAAUGUAAUAAUGAGGUAGCAUCUUUGUGAUAUGUCAAAUAUAAUUCGUGAGUUGAAGUCAGCAGGUCACUCCCUUACUGAUGAGCAACAAUUUUAGACUGUUAUAAGGUAUCUUCCUGACAAUUUAGAGCAUAUGAAAAUCAAUAUGACACAUAAUGAGAAUAUUGUCACUUUUGAUGAUAUAACGCGUCAUUUGGAAUUAGAGGAUGAGCGCUUAGAGGCUACAAGAUCCUCUACCCAUGCUUAUGUUACUGAAUCAAGUUCGCACAAAGUUUCAGGCUUCAAGCGCAAAAGGAAUCGUGAAUUCAAUAAUAAGGGAAGAAGACUAAUUAAGCACCUAAGAGGGCUAAGACCUUCCAACGCAAGAAGCGUGGUAGGAAGAAGAACAAUGCCAAUAUGAAGUGCUACAAUUUUGACAAGAUGAGUCACUUUACUCGUAAAUGCACUGAACCGAAAAGAGGUACCCUAUUACUCCAUUACUUUAAGUAAUACUUUUGUUUCUAGCACUGUAAUACUUGUUGAAUCUCAUCCAAUGUGAACUGUAGACUCAGGAGCAACAGACCACGUAACUAGAGACCGAGAAGUAUUUGUGGAGUACCGUCGGAUAUAGCUUGAAAGAAGAUGGAUAUAUGUUGGGAAUAACUCAAAAAUUGAAGUGAAGGAUAUCGGCACAUGUAAAUUAAUUUUAUGUGGUGGUCGAAGCCUAUUCCUAUAUGAUGUCUUAUAUGCUUCAGAUAUUCGACGAAACUUGGUUUCUGUAGUUGUUCUUCUUAACAUAGUUUAUGUAUUGAAUUUCCAUGGUGAUUGUAUUGACAUUUUAUUUGGAACAGUUUAUUAUGGUACAUGUUAUGUAUUAAAUUGUUUUAUGGUGUUAGACAUUGACUAUGAUCAAUACAAUAUUAAUGUCGAUGGUUGUUUUUCUUUAAUUGCAUAUUCUAGUAAUGUUGAGAUUGAUGCAAGUACUUGGCAUGCUAGAUUAGGUCAUAUCGGGUUACAAAGAAUGCAAAAAUUACCUAGAGAAUGUCUUUUAGGAUCACUCAGUAAUAUUAAUCUACUCGUAUGUGAAUAUUAUCUAGCGGGAAAAGCAACUAGAAAACCAUUUGGUAAAGGAACUAGAGCUGCAUUUCCAUUGUAAUUCAUACAUUCUGACAUUUGUUGUCCUUUGAAUGUGAAGGCGAGGCAUUGAGCCUCAUAUUUCAUCACUUUCAUAGAUGACUUCACGCGUUUCGGUUAUGUCUUUCUGAUCUCUCAUAAGUCAGAAGCAUUAUACUGCUUUAGGCAAUAUAUAAUUAUAGUAGAGAACAGUUGAACAAAACAAUAAAGGCAUUGAGAACUAAUUGCAGACGUGAAUAUCUAUCGAAGCAAUUCAAGGCUCUUUGUGAUGAAAAGGGAAUUGUACAACAAUUGACUAUUCUUGGUACUCCACAACAAAAUGAGGUAGCUGAGAAAAGAAAUAGAACCAUAUUGAAAAUGAUUAGGUCUAUAAUAGCACAAGCAAAUUUACCUAUUUAUAAUUGGAGAGAUGCGUUAUUGACUACUACCUAUGUUUUUAACCGAGUGUCCUUGAAAUCAGUCAGUUCCACCCCUUAUGAAUUAUGGACUGGUAGGAAACCAGACUUAAAUAGUUUACGUCCAUGGGGAUGUGCAACUUAUGUUCAUGAUUCUUUCCACAAAUAUGGGCAAAUUAGGUCAUAGAGGGAAGAAAUGUAUAUUUAUAAAAUAUUAUGAACACUUCAAAUAGUACGUGUUCAUAAGUGAACAAGCUGAUGGAAGUAUGACCAAAAUGGAGUCACGAGAUGUUACGUUCUUAGAGAACGAUUUUCCUAGUAGAGGUGAGAUUGAUAAGGACUUCCAAUUAUAUAAGAUGAAUGAUCAUGAUAACAUACCUACUAAUUUUAUAGAGAGAAAUGAAGAUUUAUCUCAACAUAUAAGACCUAGUGGGAAUGUUGCAUCGCCUGACGAACUGAAUUUAAGAUAAAUUCAAUUACGUAAAAGUAAUCGUAAAAGUAUUCAUCGUCGUUGUUUUAAAAUUGAAGGGGAAGCAUUUAUAAUUGCUCAGAAAGACGAUGCUAAGCCUAAGACUAUUCAAGAGGCUCUCUCAUCAUCUGAUAAAGAAUAAUUGAUAAAAGCUUUGGAAGAUGAAAUUGAGUCAAUGAAUGGAUAAAAGCUUUGGAAAAUGGAAUUGAGUCAAUGGGGGCAAAUCACGUUUGGUACUUGUGUUUUUAAGAUUAAGCGAAGGGCGGAUGGAUCCAUUGAAAAGUAUAAGGCUCGUCUUAUGGCGAAAGAUUAUGCUCAACAAGAAAGUAUAGAAUAUGAGGAAACAUUUUCACCAGUUAUAAGGUUUGUCUUAAUACGCCUUAUCUUAGCCAUCAUUACACAUUUGGACCUUGAAUUACAUCAAAUGGAUGUAAAGACGGCAUUUCUCAAUGGAGAACUAUAUGGGGAAAUAUAUAUGAAGCAACCAAUAGGUUUCAUAGCUAAAGGUCAAUAGCAUAAAUUUUACAAGAUUCAUCGCUCAAUAUAUGGCCUUAAGCAAUUAUCUAGAUAGUUGUAUCUUUAUUUUCAUCGAGCCAUAACAAAUUUUGGUUUCACGAUGAUCGAAAAAGAUCACUGUGUAUAUAUCAAGCGGUCUGAAGAUAAAUUUGUGAUUUUAUCACUUUAUGUGGACGAUAUUCUAUUGGCUAGAAAUGACAAGGUUUUGAUUAUCACCAUAAAAGAAUGGUUGUCCUUUAAUUUUGAAAUGAAGGACAUGGGGAAAGCUACUUAUAUAUUAAAAGUUAAAAUUGAAAAAGAUCGAUCAAAGAAACUCCUUACUUUAUCACAAAAGUCUUAAUGAAGAUUCUUGAACGUUUCAAUAUGCAGCACUGUAAUCCCAUUGAUACUCUUGACAUGCAAUGUGAAGGCCUAAGUACUGAGAUGUGUCUUAAGACUUCAGAAGAAAAUAAAGUGAUGAAACUGUUCAUUACGCUAGUGCGAUCGGAAGUUUGAUGUAUGCUAUGAUGUGUAUUCGACCCGACAUAUGUUAUGCCGUGGGAUUGGUGAUCCAAUAUCAAUUAAAUUCCGAUCAAGCAUACUGGAAAGCAGUAAAGAGGAUCUUGAGAUACUUAAAAGACACUAAGACUAUUGACUUUGUUACCAAGGGAAUGAUUUAUGCUUAUUAGGCUAUUUAAAUGCUGAUUGUGGUGGAAACCUAGAUGAGUGUAAAUUGACUUCUAGAUAUGCGUUCUUGCUCAAUGGAAGUGCAAUUUCUUGGAAGUGCAUGGCCUUGUCUACUAUGAAGGCAAAAUUUAUUGCAUAUUCUGCUGCAGUACAAGAAGCAGUAUGACUAAAACGUUUCUUGAAAAAUUUAGCUACUGUUACUAAGAUUCCAAGAUCGGUGAUAGUUUAUUGCGAUAGUCAAGCAGCCAUUGCGUAUGUGAAAGAUCCCAAGUAUCAUGGAAGGAUGAAGCAUAUUAACAUAAAGAACAAAUUCAUAAGAGAUAUAAUAGCGCAUAAAAAAAUGAUGUACAAUAUAUUUCAACCAAUAGAAUGGUUGAUGAUCCAUUUACGAAUGUUGUUCCUAGAAACAUAUUUUUGACCCAUAAGAUGUCACUAGGAUUAUGUAGAAUAUGAUAUGUGUUAUUGUAGAGAAUCAUUGAUUUAUGUAUAUUUGAACAUAUGUAUUGUACUCGUUUGUUUAUUAGUGACUUGAUGUUUUAUCAAUAAGUACAAAUCCAUUAUAAGACUCGCACAUAUACACAUAUAUUAUUAAAAAGUAUGUCAGCAGGCAAUGAUUAGCUCACUCACAUGAGCAAUUAUCUUAAGUGCUAUAGUUAGCACAUUGAGAUGAUACGUUAUGUACAAAUGAAUGCUAUAGAGCAAGUUUAGUACAUAAAAUCAUAUGUCGCCUUGAUUGGAGUCAAGAUGAGGUCUGUGAUUUGUUCAUAAUAAGACCGAACAUAAUAGUUCCACAAUCAUGUAUACUUGAAAGAUGUUGGAUGCAAGUACUUAAUUGUACGCUAUAGAAAGUGAGUUGAUAUAGCAUUCGAGCUAAACAUGAGUACGUGAGAAGCACGUGACUAUGUUGAGGCUAAGAUCCGUAUAGUGGAUAUAUUUAAUAAAUGACAUACGCUCUUGUAGAAAGAGAAAUCCACUAUAGCAUGUAAUUUAUACUAUAUGUGCAUUGUACAACCGACAAGGGAAUGUGAGUAAAAUUAUCCCUAUUUACUCAUCUUGAGAGCCAUUGAGGUAAUUUAUAAUUUACCUCAUUUUGUUCUCCAUGUUACUUCUGACUAUGUUCUCAAAGUAAAAUAUCAAUGUUGCCACUUUAGCAUGUUAUCAGCAGUUAUGAAUAGAUAUGGCUUUAUGGGACGUGUCCAGGGAAGCAAUUGUUCUGAAAUGGAGAGAGACAUGAGUGCGAAGGAAGACUAUUGCUAUUUUACAUCUAUCACAUAUAUUUACUGGUCAACCAAUUAUAUCGCCUUAUGUGGUUGCAGAUAUAAUUGUAAAUACAUGGUGUUUUUUAGGAUAGUCAAGUAUAACUUUUAAAAGAUAGGUAUAUUUGGAUUGAUGUAACAAAAUUUGUUUGGGGUAUUGUGAGACAUUAAUUGUUUAUUUCUUUUUAGGGUUGUAGCCAUUAUGUCAUCCCUAACAGGUAAAUAAUUUGAGCUUCCAAGUACAGGUGUACUCAUUGGUCGCAUGGCUUACUUACCAGUGUGAAUUGUUUUGUAAAGUUGAUGAAUGUUGAAUGCCUUAUAUUCUUAACAGAGCACUAUCAAGCCCAUUAUAUCCGAGUGGGAGAUGUUGUAUUUAAUUAGUACGUCCAUGAUGGUUAAAAUGAGAACGCACCGUUAUGUCUUGAUACGCUACAAUGGAAAUAUAUCCGUUGAAAUGGUAUGAAGGAAGUUGUAUAAAAGUCUUUUGAAGAUAACCGUUAGUACGGUUGACAGAACAUAUGCUUAGAAAUUCCUCUCAUUUUUCUUUUCCCCUUUCCAUCAAAAGAAAAAGAAGGCGUUCCAUUUCUCAUUUACAAAAACAAUUGGCAUUUACGUUGUGGAAAUCAAUGUUUUCCUCGUGAUUGCAUUCAUACCAACGUGAAGUAAUUUUGUUCGUGGUUCAUCCGCAAUUCAACGAUCGUUCCGUGUAAAUUGUUGACUGCGCAUCAGAUAGAGGUAAGUCGUCUUCCACCGACUUUGGGAUAAGUACACUAAUGGUGCCAUAAGUUGUGUACAACGCUCACUUUGGUGCCAAAAGUUUCGUCGGAUCAUUUAAGUGCCAAAAAAUUUGAAAAACGCUCACUUUGGUGCCAACGCUGAUCUGAUCGGCCAGAAAUCUGAAGUGGCAUUUUUUUAUUAAUUUCUUAUGCUGAUGUGACUCGCCGGAGUUUCCAUUAGAUCACUUAGGCCUUCAAACGACGUCGUUUUAGCAUCCUAACAGCAAAACGACGCCGUUCUAUGUCUUUCCCCCAAAUACAAAACCCUAAAUCCCCAAACGACGUCAUUUUGUGUCGUCUUCUUCCCCAAGAAGAUUAGUCUUCUUCCCCGAACAGAUCCAGCAACACCAACAGCGUCGAACCAACAACACCAGCAGCGCAGAACCAGCAACACCAAUAAUUUUCCAGAAAAGAAACCACGCAUUCGCCUUUGCCUUCCCCUAGUAGUUUUCCCCCAUUUUCAAUCACCUUAUCAACUUUUCAAAUCCCCGAAUCUUAGCCCCACCACCACCUUCUCCUAAGGAAUAUCGUUGGUUGCAAAGGAAACACGAGCUCGAAGAAUCUCUAGAAGCACAAGCGAUCCGGCCAAUGGUAGCCGCGAAGAUUUGGAACGCCACGGAGGUUGUCAACGAAGCCAGCUGCUACAAAGGCGGCGGCCGUGGCCCCGUCAUCCCCUCCUUCGCCCUCAUCGUCGACACCUCCCUCUCUCUCAGGAUUUUCUGUUCAUUUUUUUUUCUUUUGUCUUGCUGUGGCAAGCAACUACAAUGGAGGUCAAGGGAUGGUGGCAGAGCAACGGUGGCCGAGGGACGGCGGCCAAGUGACGGUGGCCGAGGGAUGGCGGCUAAGCGACGGUGGACGAGCAAUGGCGGACAAAAAAACCCUAAUUUCAAUCUCCAAAUAAAAUAAAAUAAAACGACGUCGUUUUUGUGAGGCUAUCCACGUAGGACGGCAAAACGACGUCGUUUUUUUAAAGACGAAAAAUGUUGUUUAAAAGGCUUCUCGAUUUUUUUUUUAAAUAUAAAAGCUACAUAAUCAUUUUGGCCGGAAUUUGUCGUUGAUGGCACCAAAGUGAUCAUUUUUCCUCCGAUUUGGCACUUAAGUGAUCCGGCAGAAACUUUUGGCACCAAAGUGAGCGCCAUACACAACUUAUGGUACCAUUAGUAUACUUAUUCCACCGACUUCCUUCUAACAGUUACCAUCGAUAAUUGCGGGAUUUUUGUCAAAGUCAAGCGUCAAUAUCUUCAUGUCCUAUUUAAAGUUUCAUUUUGUCUCUAAACUUUGGUCAUGCUUUUUCUUUUCUUUACUUCCAACGUUUCACUAUGAGUCAGUCGUGUUGAUAGUAAGUUCGGAGGAAUUCCAUCCAUAAUCUUUCAUGUCACUCUAAUAAUGGAGGACAUUUGGUCAAUAUAUGAGAAGUGGUGAUUGUGGAUCAAGGAAGUUUCUCCGAAAUGUCACUUGCAUGCAUGCUGAGGUCUUAUGUAUAAGCUACCUCCCAAAACUUUUCAUACUAGUAAUGAUUAAAAAUUGUAGUACGCGUGCAUUGCAUGGAAAUGGUCCGAAUUUUUGUGUUAAAUUAAUUUUAAUCAUUACAAAAAAUCUAAACAUUAGUAUCACAAAAAAUCCAAAAACGAUACAUUUAUGCUAAAUUAAUUUUUGUAUUACAAAAAAGCUUAAAUUAAUAUAUUCAUAUCAUAUUUAUCCCAAAUUGACUUUUAUAUAACAAAAAAUCAAAGAUUGGUAAUUUGGGAUAAAUUUGGUAUGAAUGUAUCAAUUUGAAAUUUUUUGUGACAUGAAAACACAUUUUAGAUAAAUGUAAUGAAUUUGGAAUUUUCGUGACAUGAGAGUAAAUGUGAGCGAAGAAAAAAAAACAGAUUCUAUUGUCCGGUUGAGAUGUCAUCCCAUGUAUUGAAGCGUACAUAUAUAAUUGAAAGAUUAAAUGUUAUUUUAUUAUUAUUAUUUUUCCGCGAAAGCUUUUGGGUCAAAAGCAGCUCCACACCCAACCCUCUCAGCGCCCGAACGCUUAUGCGUCGAGCAAGAUCCGAACAACAACCACCACCAUCUUCCUCGGCCUGAAAAAUGCCCCAAAUCCUCGAGCACUAAACCCUAAUUCCACUAGCCCCUGCCAACCACCGUCGCCGAGAUACUGACCAGAUUUUCCCUCCCGGUGGUGCAUCACCAGCCCGACCCCUCGUCGUCACCCUCAACAGCACCGGUCGAGCACGUCCCCCUCAGCCACCACACCAUGGACUCCGCCUCCGCUAUCCUCCUCCGCUCCCUCGCCUUCCUCCCCCGCACCGCCUCCGCCCCUACCAGCUCGUCCUCUGCCGACCGCGCCAUCGACUCCGCCCUCGCUGCCGAGCCGGGGCUACGCCUCGUCCACGUGGACUCCUCUCGAGCUGAGGAGAUCGCUGAAGAGAUCGCUGAAGAGAAGCCCGGGGCGACAAGGAGGAGGAGCUCUCGAGGCGGAGAGAGAUGAGCGAGAAGGCAGAGAAGAGGGAGAAGGCUUCGUCUCAGAACGCGGGGAAAAAGAAAAUGAUUUCCAUCCAUUUUCUCAUAUUUUGAAGGGUUUUUCCCGGUUGACGGAAAUUAUUUUCUUGAUCCGUUCAUUCUCUUUGAGCCAAACAGCGGAAAAUUUGGUUGACGAAACAAACCAAGCCUUAAUCAUGAAUCCACGUCCAUAAACCGUAAUUUUGUUGUGCUAGUGGGGCAUUACCGACUAUCUAAUUCUCUCAUAAUAGUAUUCAAUUUGCCUAGCUUGCAAAAUUUUCUAGAGGCAACUCCAUGGUAUAUUCAAAUUGAGGCUCCGUUUGGUUUGGCUUUCCCAAGGGAAGCCCCUUGGGGAAAAUUUUUUGCGUUUGGUUCACUUUUUUGACUCUUCAUUUGUAAAAUGCUAGCAUUUGAAAUGCUGAUAGUCUAACCAAAGUAGGUCCGAACCUAGUUUGAGCUUUUAGCAUUUUCAGAAUACUAGUUUAAGGAUUAAUGAUUUUUUUUUUUUAAAUAUUGCCCUUACUGAUAAUCAUAUUUUUCCCUAGUGCUCUCUUUCUCUACUGUUCAUCGUCUUCUUCAAGUCCAACGCAAAGCUCAGCCGGUGGCCGACGCUCAGCCACGAGCGGCCAAAUCUGGCUGUUGGGAAGCCUGGCUUGAGGUCAGGCGACCUUGAGCGUCGCUUGGGUUGUGUGACUCAGGCAACGCCGCUUGAGGUCGCGCCUAAGGUCAAGCGACCCAGGGCGUCACCUGAGGUCGUGGACCUCAGGACCUCAAGCGAGCCACCUCUUCGCCAUCGCCACCACCACCAGCCGCCUUCGCACCACCACUAGCGCCAUCGCCACCAGCCACUCCCCCACGAUUUUCAACUGCAUCUCCCCCUUCCUUUUCUUUUCUUUUCUUUUUUUCCUUUUUCUUUUCGCCUCAGAGCUACUUUGCAAAAUAUACACAAAAAAUUGAGUUUCCAAACAUACUUGCCUUUACAAAAUGCCUAUUCACUAAAAGAUACUUGAGAAAAUGGCUUUGCAUUUCCCCAAAGUUGAACCAAAUGGGGCUUAAAUACAAUACCCUAUAAUGGGCAUUCAAUUUUGUUUUGUUUUUGUUUGUUUGUUUUUCUUUUUCUUUUUUUGGAGUCCCGAAAGAAGUUAACCGUAAUGGCUUUAAGAAUCUCUCGAGAAAACCAUAUCGAGGGUUUAAAAUGUCGGUACUUUCAACCCCAAGCCACAUACGUCGGAUCCCUCCCUUUCAACAGAUGCAUGGAAGCCGAUCCAUCUAUAAGGACAGUAAUCUAGUAAAAGCAGUGAUCGCCAGUAAUUUGGUCCACAAAUUCAAUCCUUUCUGAGCCCAUGGCAUGGUAGAACUAGAAUGACAAACAGAGAUAGAACCGGUUGUACCAGGAUGUGUGCAUUACACCAACAAGCAAGCAUAGUGUUCAUACUUUGAUUUAGAAACUCAUAAUACACAUGACUCACCUCAAGCUAUUGAGAUAAGCUAUUGAGAUAAAUAGCAUUCAUACUUCGAUUUGGAAAUUCAUAAUAAACACUAAAGCUAUUGAGAUAAAUAGUAAGUCUCCGUGGCCAAUGCCCUGAAUGUCAAAUCCCAAAAGGUUGUCCGGGAGCAAGUAGUGCUUGAUCAGCAGCCACAAGAUUCAGGCCCUCAAAGAACUGUUCCCAACCAUACUUGUCGUCUUCGGUAUCUAAAGAGCAAUACAGAUAAUAUUAGAAUGUGACCACACUUCACACGCCAUGAUUGCUAAUUUCUCAUGACCAUAGAUGAAUAUUUAGUGAACGUUAUAGUACUAAUGAGGCUAUCACUAUGUCCACUGCACGUUUCCCGAGAUGUUAGAUGCAUUGGUCAUGGAAAUUACAUUUCGAUCAGUCCUUACCAUCAGAUAAGUGAGAUAAUGCAACUGUUGCAGAGAAAUAAUCACAAAGUAAUAUCUUAUAAAACACCUACAUAACUCUCUUUUGUAUGCAGUUACAACAUUUGGUAAGUUGACUAGACCCAAUCAAACCCCUAAACAGAGCUUACCAGCGUGACAAAAUUGAGUCAAGUAUUAGACUUGAGAUGCCAAAUGAUUUAGCCUUUCAAAUUCAGCCCGCUUCACUUUUACCUGUUUAGUUCCCAAAUGGGAUUGAUAAUAGAGAUAUCACAAAAAUAUCCCUCUUUUAAACUCAUUAAAUGGGUUCCUAAUGUGGUCAGGUGUUGAGUGUUUUUUUGGCACUCUCUAUGGUUGGUCUUUGUGCAUUUCUGGGCAAAAAAAAGAAGGAAAAAGGACAAAAUUGCGUUCCUUAAGGAGAAGAACUGAGCUGAUGCAAUUCCUACUCUUCCUUACACAAGCGUGAAUCUGUCCGAUGAAAUAGGAUGAUAACCCUAGACCAAAGCUGAAGACAUGAUAACAAUCUACUUUUGUUCCAGCAAGUUAUAUUCGCACCACAUAUAUCAUCACAGUGAAAAUUCAUUCUGCAUAUCUUUAGUGUGGAAGUCCCAAUCUUUCUUCUCAAUUUUUCCACAGGACAGGAAAAACAAUAUUAUGCCGCGAAGAAAUUGACUUUGGAUGGAGAAAUUUCAACGUACUUAAAGCUGGGAAGCCUGAUGUUGACCCGUAUCCUAAUGGCUGAACAUUUGUAUCUGCCGAAGGCUCCAUUUGGUUCAACGUGGCAUUUUGGGGAUUGAGACUUUGUGAUUGUAUUAGCAAUUGAGCAGCAGUAAUGCCCCGAUUUCCUGGAGAGAGAUUAAAAAUAAAUUAGUAUCCGAUUGAUGAAGCCCAUAAUAGAAAUGUGGCAAGCCAGGAAAGGCAAGUCUCCUAGGUGUGGGAUCAACGUGGAGUCCAUAAGUUCCUAAUGUUGUGAUUUAUACAGACAGUUCAGCUAAAUAGAUUUAGGUCCCAAAACCCAUCUGAAGAACUAAUAAUUAGGGCAUUGCAAUCACAUACUUCAUGAGAAACGAGAAUAGACAACAAUGCUCCUCCCUCGUAAAAUAUUUCAUCAUAUUCUUGACUGACUGUAUGCUUCUUAUGGAACAGUUGAUUUUAACCACCUCCAAACCCAUAUCAUUGGAAGCCAGUAUAUUUCCCUCCCAAAGAUGUACGCUACUGUGAAAGGUUUUAGUUGCAACGUGUCACUUUGAUGAUCUAAAAAGAAAAAAAGUGGCUACAUCUCAGCUAGUGUUUAAUUAUAGGCAACUUUUUCUUUUCCUCACAGCCAAUUAGAGCACAUACCUUCCACUGUGGAUGCUGAAGUUCUAGGAGAUACUUUCAAACCAACAUGACUGCCCAAUCUCGGUGGAGGCGUAUUGUUGUGAGCUGGAUGGAGGCAUUGUUGAUCUCCUAGAACUUCACACAGAAAAGAACAUGAGAUCUUCUCCGACAUGGAACUUGAAGAAGCCUCAGCUUCAUAUGGUGUGACAUCUUUCCAAUUCUCAUAGGCCUUUUUCACCAAUUUAUCUGCACAGACCUGGAAGACUUGAAAGUUACUACUUCCUCAAGCAGUCGGUUUAUCAGGGUUAUCUUACACCCUAGGUGACUCAAAUAAUUCAGGCUGGACUCAUAUGGAUAUCAAAGGCAAUAAGACGUGUCUAAUAUGUUCCCUUUUUUUCUCAGACAGAUCAAACAAGGUAGGAAGAUGCAAAGUUGGUGUUCACAGAAUUUGAUGAAAGCAACAAAAAGCAUCUUGACUUGAAAGUACCAUAACAUGGUGAAUGAGUAAAAAACUUAGAACUCUGUAUGAGCAUACAGUGCUCCUAAUCUGCUAAAUGCACUCCUCAUGUUGGGGACAGUGGUUGUGGUCCCACAGAGGGUGCUUCUGGUGAUGUCUUCUCAAGGGGUGAGAGUAAAAGAAGAGGGCAGCCUUUGGAGGAGUUUGAAUUGGAUGUGGAUGGAGAUUCAUUGGUCUUGGUGCUGAUGGGGUUGAUGAGGCAAGAUUCUCUUUUUAUCAGUUCCAUUGUUGAAUCGUUUUGAGGUAAACAGUGAGGAGGAUGUCUCCUUUUGGGUACUUAACAAUAUCAAGGCUGUUGGCCAGAUCCUUGGAGUCUCCUUGUGAGCAUUCCAAGAUACAGCCAUGAGUCUUUUCGAGGAGCUUGAGAAUGGAAAUGAUGGCCCUGAGCAUUUUAAGUCCUUGAAAAAAAAUUAACGAAUUGAAACGCUUUCAGUGAUCCACCAAUAAUGAUAGAACUCCCGACAGAAAAAGGAGGUUGUGAGUGGUAGCAGUGGAAAGGUUUCUUCGUUGUUUAUAUAAAGGUCAAUAUUAGGUCUUGGAUUGUCAGGGGGCUGAAUGAUGGAGACGAGAAUGGUGAUAAAAAAUUUUAGUGGAGACGGGACAUAGUGUCAUUAGGAGACUAAAAUGGAAGAUUGUCAGCUGGAUGUUGCCAGGAAAACUCUAUUCUGAGACUUCGGUAUAAUGGAAAGUUAUAUGUGCAUGUAAAUGCUUUAAACGACAUUGUAGAUGAUUUGUAUUGUAAAUGAGCUCUUUUGGGGCUAAGCUUUUCUCUACAUGGCUUUGCCCCCCUUUUGUGCCCUUUUCUUUUACCUAUAAAAAAAAGUAGAAAAUUAUCAUCAGAGAAACUCUAUUUUGUGUUUGUUUUUGCUUUUCCC